CAUACACUAGCAGUGGUAUUGGACGGUGCCCCUCCCGGCAACCCCUGAUUAGCAUCGGCUACAAUCCAUCUCAGCUGCUAGAGAACGCCAAGCUUGCUUGGCAUGGUGUUGGUCGUCGAUAUGACCCUGGUCCAGGAAUCCAACAGCAGACGGCACGCGGCAUCGUCGAUAAGCAAGGAUGUCUGGUGUUUAGGCAUGUAGAUAAGCUGACUGGUUUGCUCAGAUUCACUGACCUCCUCGAUGGGGCAAUUAUGCACUUGGCAGCUGGCUGCCGCCGUCGGCGGUGUAGCUGGUGGUCUUGCGGCGGCAACAAAUUGUUGACUUAGUUUUUUGACAGGGAAAGUCACUGACUUGAUACAUGUUUUCUCUGUUGUGAUGUGUAGCUGCAUGCUGCACUGUUUUGUAGUUGUUGAAAGUUGAGAGCAUGAGCUAGCUCCAUGUGUGAGGAGUCUGUUGACAGGGGAACUAGCUGUGAGUUGUCUCCUUUUUGUCGGUGACACGUAGCUCCAUGCUGCACUCUUUUGUUGCCAUUUGUUACUUGAGAACCUGGGCUGGCUAUAUCUAUGUGGCGAUUUGUGUGUU